GCUGGGCAUGGUGGCGCACGCCUGUAAUCCCAGCACUUGGGAGGCUGAGGCAGGAGGAUCAUUGUGGGUUUGAGACUAGCCUGGGCUACAAAGUGAGCUCAAGGCCAGCCUGAACUGCACAGUGAGACUCUGUCUCAAAAAGACCAAAAAAAAAAAAAGAAAAGAGUCUCGUUAUAUAGUCCAGGUUGCUCUUGAACUCACUAUGUAGCUUAGAUUAGCCUUGAACUCUUGAUGAUCCUCCUGCCUCA
rnacentral:sRNA from 1 species